AACUUAGGUAACUAUUUCAAUAUAAUUUAUUUUCUUUGUAAUCCUAAUUUUGUGCAUUUAAAAACAUUAUUCUGUAGUUAUACUGCUUGCCUCCUUAAUGGGUGGGGGAUGGACUGCAGAGAAGAAGAGAAUUUGGAACUCAAAACAAUUUUAAAUGAAUGUUUAAAAAAAAAAAGAGCAUAAUUCUGAGAAAGGGUCCAGAAGCUUCGGCAGAUGCCAAGGGGGAUUUAUGACACGGGAAAGGGAAGCAGCCCUACACCCCGAUAUGCUCCCUACUCCAGGCCUGGCAUUCUCUCCCUGGCUCCAAUUCAAGUCUCGGCUAAAAUCCCACCUCCUCCUACCAGAAGUCAUUCCCAAUCUCCUUGGAGGGCGGGUGCCUCCGUCUGCCGAUCACACCCAUUUUAUCCCGUAUAUGUCCCGUUUGUACGUAGUUGUUGGCAAGUUGUCUCCUCCAUUAGACCAAGAGCUCCUUAAGUGCAAGGGAUAGCUUUUGCCUUUCUUAUUAUCAUCAGCACUUAGCCCAGUGGCAGGCACACCAAAAGAGCUUAAUAAAUGCUUACACUGACAGUUCACUGAUUUCAAAGCACGAAGGAAGCUUAGGGAUCCAGUAAGCGACUAGUCUGGGAUCACUCAGGCAUGUUUUCAGCAAUGAGGAUGAACAAAAGACACCAUUUCUGCUCUGAAUGUGAUUUUCUACAGGAGAGAGAGAGAAGAUUCCUCAUGUGUAUUAGAGAUAGCUAUGACCUUAUCAGCUUUGAAAGGUUGGAAGAACCAGCCCACUGACAUCCAACAACUUCACGAUGCAUCAAAGUCUGCUGAUGGUCAAGCAUUGUCAAGGAUCCAGCCCAGCACUGAAUCACUGUAGUAGGCAAGACACUUUGACCUACAAUAAGAGAACCACUCAUUCAGUGGCUAUGCCAUAUCUAGAAGCGAAUGUGGUGGGUCAUUGACCCAGCUCCUCCCAGGAAAGAGGGAAGGGGAGGAGCCUUGAAUUCUGUGAAAGUUUACAAUCAAGGUUGGCUCCAAAGAAGAGAUAUUAAGUGUUCUUCCAUGUUCCUUUGAAGAGGUAGAGGAUGAUAGAUGUGGAACACAGCAUUUGUCAGACUUUUAAAAUAUUUUGGUUAGUUUUGCUGAACUAGUUUUUUUUUUCUUUUUUAUUCUUUGUAUGAGAGAGAUGACUCUCUAGGAGACUAUGGAGGGGGAGGAGUACAUUGGGAAAUGUAGGCAAUCUAGAAAUAAAAAAAGUGAUAAAAUUAUUUUCAAAUUAAUUUUUAAAAAAUUAUGUCAAACCACUUUUCAAGUUGGUGGACAAUAUUGUAAAAUCAAUCAGUGAUAGUGUGUUGCCAUUCUAAAAAACUAUUGGGAACCACUGAUCUAAACUAUUCAUCUACAGGAAACCUAUCAUGUGUAUAUUCUCUACAUCAUUGGCAUUCAACAUAUAUUCAAGGACUACUAUCUAGAAACUUUUUUUUAAUGUGUAGUAUAUUAAUUCCCUAUUUAAAGAAAAUGCCUGGGGUGCAGAGUGAUUUCAUUUUUAUAGCCUACAAAAUAGAAGCUUUUAAUG